rnacentral:lncRNA from 1 species
UCAUCCAAGAGCGCUGCAAUCAUCAUCACCACUGAAGCGGGCAGCAGUGGGAGCCUAAAUGCAGCAAAACCUCAACAGUUCAUGACCUGCAAUGGGAGCCUUGCCUCUUCAGCUGUCUCCUUCAUUCCCUCACCGACUGCCAUGAGUCCAGAAGACAUCAGCUUUAACAGUGACCUCUUAGGGGAGCUGAUGAGUUCACCUCUCAACCAGUUGAGCCUCCAGCCAUCUUCAGUUGCUCAGCUCUCCACAAACAUUAAAAAAGAGCGUCGAUGCUCGACUCCCGCUCCUUGUCAAUACUCUUUAAAGUCUGCCUCUCUGCAAAGACACUCCUCAGUAUCUUCAGGUGUCCCGGCCACUACGAGCACAGCUCCUGUACUGAGUGUUGAUAAAGACAGAUUGCUGCAGGAGAAAGAUAAGCAGAUAGAGGCGCUGACCAGGAUGUUGUGGCAGAAACAGAGAUUGGUGGAGGUGCUAAAAAUGCAGCUGGAAAAUGGAGACAGAGGAAAGGCUCCAGAGCCAAUCAGUCCUCUCGGGGUAAAAGAAGAACCUCUCGAUGAGCCCGAUGUUGCCUUCUCAAUGGACUUUGAUCGAUUUCCCUCUCAAAAAUCACCUAUUUCACAAGAGAUGGAUAUUACCAAGGUAAUUGUGAAACAGGAAGUAAUCGAGGAAGAAGAAGUUAAACCUGAGAAAACUUUCCAGUCCCCAGUCACUCAUGGAUUGCUGCAGUCCUCAACCCAAACACAGGAGGAGCAGCUGGCUCAACAACACACCAUACAGAAAGUCCUGCUGCAGCAGCAGCAGCACAACAUCCAGAACCAGAAUCAGACGCUGGAGAAUCAACAUGACCUGCAGAAACUUUGUCAGCAGAGAAAGAAAAAAUCUCAAAACCAGCAAAAGCAGCUGCUGCUGCAGUCACAACAGCAGCCAUCUAAGGUGCCUCAAGCAUACCUGAAACAGCAGUCAGGCUCAAGUGCCUCUUUCUCACUGGACCACCUUAAGAUUGACUCCACCCCAACCCUGGUCACUGACACCAACGGUAACCAUUUUCUGAUCGCGCUGACCAAUCACCCUGACUGGAAACAAAAUAAAGGCCCCUGCUGA